UAUUAGUUGAAAAUGCCCCUGUAUCUGAAGAAUAAAAAAUAUCCCUGAAAUACAAAAUAUGCAUGAUGCCUUAGGUGAUGUUGGAGAAAUGCUGUAAUGGGAAGGGCGGGUAAUAAAUGAAAAGGCUUGUGCAGAAACCUACUCUCAGGAGACGCAGAGUUAGUUGACAUUCCUGAGCAGUUUGGUCUUUUCCCUAGGGCUGACUUCAGAGCAACCUGUGGAACUGCUGGAUUCUAUCCCCACUUGGACUCUUCCUUUUGAACAGCUAGUGAUUGACAAAGAGGUGGUUGGUUUCUGGAUGUCUGCGGCAUGCACGCAGUGAAAUCAAGAAAAGAUUAUCCUCCACAAGCGCUGGAGCUGCAGCAUAAGUUCUAUAUCAAGAGAGGAAGAGCCAGGGCCAAGCACCACUGGGCAGGAGCUGGGCCUCAGGGCAUAUUCCCUGGGGAGCCUGGUGGGAGACCCUGGAGCUUGCCUUCCUCUAUGAUUCAUCCUCUUUGGCCUCCACCAUCGAGUUCCUCCACCCAACAGGAGAUGGACCUAAUAUUGGGAAGGUAGGCCCUGCCCAGGGUGACAGGGUCACAUAAAGCUAAGUCCUGGAACUGAACCUCUCUGUGCUUCAGCCUGCUUCUCUGAACAGUGAGGUGCCAAUAAAACCAACAUCAUGGUAAGAAAAGCCAGGCCUCUCAUACUGCUUCCCUCCCUUACUUUUUGGGUGGUACCCUCACUCCUUGACUUGCCUCACUAUCCACUUGGUAGUAUCCACAGCCAAGUCACUAUGACAGGGCCCAACAUGGAGGACCAAGGCCACCAGGCCCAGCAUUGAGAGAAAAACCUGGAGUCCACGGAGGAUCAGCAGAAGCUGCAGGGCAACCUCUGCUGCUUGUGGAAACUCCAGCUCAAGUUUCACCACGUCCACUACCUGAGAGAGAGCUGGUGCUAAAACACCUGCAAUGGCACCUCCAGACCAACAAGCCCUGCUGACCCCUCAGCCAGCACCACUUACUGAGACCAACCCAGAGUCUCCCUUCCUCUCCCCUGCCAUUUAUUUAUUCCUUAUUUUUAUUUUCUGUGUUUAUGUUUCUAGUAUAAUUAGCUUCUUUUAAAAUUAAAGAUUUUAUUCAUUUUUUAAAA